AUGUCCGUGUUUGCGGUGAAGGGGUCGCUGCGAGGACCUUGCUUCUCGGCGGCCGGCCUCUCCUCCGGCCAGAACCCUCGAAGCAGCAGCUUCUUCGAUCACCCUGCGCCGCGGAGCAGUGCUGCCCCAUUCCCGUCCAUGGUCUGGAGCACGGGCAGCGACCCAAGGCAUGGGAAGCUCAAGGUCCAGGCAACUGAGUGGAUGCGGCCAAAUGAUGAUUAUCGAUAUGAUGUUCAACCAUCACAGAGGCACACAGAUUUUAUUUGCCAACCUGGUCCAGCCAUGCAUAUCGACCUUCUCAACAGGGAGCGGCUUCGUUAUCCAAUGAACAGUAUAAGUGCGCCGAUCGCUAGAACAAAGUGGUGGAAGCUCAAGUGGGAGGCAGCUUAG
rnacentral:rRNA from 1 species